GGAGGAUUGCUUGAGCCUGGGAGUUUGAGGCUGCAGGUAGCCGUGAUCACACCACUGCACUCCAGCCUGAGUGACAGAGCAAAGCCUUGUCUC
ensembl:miRNA